AUGCCGGAGAAAGCCUUGAGACGAUUUUUCACGGAUGAGGAUACCACAUGCCCGGUGAGAUUUCGCUAUAAGCGCAUCAUGUCAUGGCAGCAGCAACAUCAAAUGGGAGAUGCAAUGUUGCAUAGGGAUUGCAAGGCCGAAACCUUGGGAUACAUUGGGUUUCGACUUACAUGUUACAGGAUAUGCGUAGACGAUCCUAUAGAGCAUAUGGGCACAUGUAUGUGUGGAGACUCUGAAAAGAUGAACACAUGUAUGUGUCUGGUUAUUCUGAAGCUAUUUAAUAUAUUAGUUGUGUCAAGAAGUCAAGUCCAGGUUCCUCAUGUCAAGUCUAUAAGUUUCACUCGAAAGAAUAAAAUGCUCUCAAGGGUCGUACUAAAAAAAGAACUACAUUAG
rnacentral:rRNA from 1 species